AGAUCUGGGGCUGAUUUAUUGAACGCCGACCUCGCCGUCGGAGACGAACCGAGAGCCGGCAAACCACUAGCUACGAAGACUAUCCUAAGUCUACAGCUAUACAGAUCCGGGCGGAGGAACCAGCGACCCCCCUCCCUCCGACGAGCCAGAGGCCCAUGGGGGAGAGGAGCUGCUGGAUCCGCCGCCGGAACCUUGGUCUCCUCUCGGUUCGCCCUUUUCUGUGGAGAGAAACGAGAGAGAAGGGAAAGUCGUUUUGCGGACACCCUUAUCAAGACACGGACACUUCCCCCUCCCAUCUGCACGCCGCCCGCGGCUCCUCCGGCUACCGCAUCGUCUACCGCAGUUUCCGCCAUGGCAUCUCCCGCCGCGCCCACCAUGGCCCGGACCAUCUCGAGGUCUGCGGCGGCGCGGCGCCACGCUGACCUGCCGAUUCAGCCUGCACGGACGACCAGGGUGGCCUCAACCCUCGCACGCACCGGCCCACGCACUCCCGUAAGCCCUUCCCCUCGCUCGCAUGCCUGCACCCAUGCGACCGGCCACACUUCAACAACGUCGUACUCAUCCCAGCCGGGAACCAGGGAUCAGCUAUCCAUGCCGGAUCACCUCUUCAUUAGGAGUCCUGGACUAGGCAGGAAGGAGACACUGCGAAGGAUUCAGUCCAUCUCGAGGUCCAGCCCGAGCACAACCUUCUCCUCCAGCUAGAUGUGGCAUGAGAUCUCUACGCCGGAGCCAGUACCAUGAUAGUCAUCACGCGCGUGCAGAUUAUCCCAAUCAGAGCAUAUGCAUGAGAGGAUUAGCCAGCUGAUGAGUCCUAUACUCACAGAAACAUCCACCGGGUACACUAAAUUUGAUAGUCCAGUUUCUCUACAUACUUACAUAGUGCUCCAGUUCAUGAUAGAUGUGUAUCUACUGUUUGCAUUAACAUAUUCCCUAUUUGUUAUUAACUGUCUCAUGCAGAUGCUCAAAAUAAAUGCAACUGGGGAACAUGUUCGUCGAUGCCUAUUCUAAGUGGAACAGAGAAGGACAAUAAACCUAUAAGGGUGCUAUCAGCCUUCCCGUUGACCACAAUAUCUAUACUCUAUUGUGCUAGAAGCACUAUUUUGCAGUCUGAUACUAUGCAACACUCUUUGCAGCCUGUCUACAUCUUCACAACUGAACAAAACGAACUCUUCAUUGUCUUCACCGAAACCGCUUUUUAUAUACCUUAUACAAUUGCUCUGCCAAAAAUAAUAACGGGGAUAAUCUGAAGCGUACUGAAUUAAGCAAAUCAUUGGUUCCAAUGGGAAAAAGGCCCAAUAGCAUUUCAUACUUUCAUUCAGGUAACUGAUGUUAGUAGCAUUUGUUUUGAGAGGCAACCUUCGUCAAAUUCAGUUGCCUUUGAAAAUACAUGAUCCAGCAAUUUUGGUAUACAAAACGCUCAGUGUAUGAAGCCUUUUAUCCUAACAAUAAUACAUUAUGGUAUUAUGCUCAAAUCUUAUCGUUUACCUUUGAUUUUGGUUGCUGUUUUCUAUGCCUGUAUUAAAAGUGUUCGAUUAAUCAUGUGCCUUGAUUAAUCAUAUAUAAGAUGUUCAUCGGAUGCCUCUUACAUGUAAUUUGGUGUAUGCUAAUUGUGCAGAGAAGAUCAGCUGUGAACUACCAAUUGCUCAAGCCCAGCCAAUUUGGAGUAUAUGAUAUGAUGCCUUUUAGCCUAUCCAUGCAUGCCCGAGUGCUUCUUUAGGCAUGUAAUAUGUGUCAUAGCUUUCUGCAAAUAACAUGAGGCAUUGUAACUGAGUAUUGACUUGAAUAUCCGAUGCAUUGGUCAGGCUGAUGUAUACAUACUCUUGCACUCA